AUGAGUAAUGCUACCUUAUCAGUCUGUUCUUGGAACAUUAGGGGUCUGGGUGAUGUGGACAAGUGUAAUGAUGUACUUUCUGAGCUAUCUUCGAUUAAGCCCCAUCUGUUGCUUUUGCAAGAAACGAAACUAGCCGAUCCAUCUAUGCUAAAAAUUAGAUCCUUUCUGCCUCGGUCACUAGAUUUGUUUGUCAUGACGCCAGCAUCAGGAUCUGCUGGGGGGUUGCUCACAGCCACCAACUCCUCCUCCCUUAUGAUUCUUUCGCACACGAAUUACUCCUACUGUUCGUCGGUUAAAAUUCAGUCUCUAGCAAGCCCCUUAACCCUCACAAUCACAAAUGUGUAUGCCCCCACAAGCUGUGCACUUAAGUCUGAUUUCCUUGCGGAAUUGGUCUCAAUUGCUCCACCCGAUCACUCCCCUUGGCUACCAGUUGGAGGUUUCAACCUUAUUCGCUUCCCACACGAGAAAAACAAUGACAACUUUCAUCCGAAUGAGGCCGUCGCUUUCAACGAGACCCUAGACUCUCUUGCCCUUCUAGAACUGCCCCUGCUUGACCGUCGUUUUACGUGGUCUAAUAAUAGAGAAACUCCGGUAUUAGAACGACUAGACCGGGCCUUCUUUAACUUAGCUUGGAACAACACCUUCCCCAACUCCAACCUCAUAUCACUCACUCGCACCACCUCCGAUCAC
rnacentral:rRNA from 1 species